rnacentral:rRNA from 1 species
ACUCCUACGGGAGGCAGCAGUGGGGAAUAUUGGACAAUGGGCGGAAGCCUGAUCCAGCAACGCCGCGUGAGGGAUGACGGCCUUCGGGUUGUAAACCUCUUUCACCGAUGGCGGAAGCCGUCCCUUUUUGGGGGUGGUGUACGGUAGUCGGAGAAGAAGCACCGGCCAACUACGUGCCAGCAGCCGCGGUAAUACGUAGGGUGCGAGCGUUGUCCGGAAUUAUUGGGCGUAAAGGGCUCGUAGGCGGUCUGUUGCGUCGGG